rnacentral:rRNA from 1 species
UGAGUAGAGUGGCGGACGGGUGAGUAACGCGUGGGAAUCUACCCAGUAGUGGGGGACAACUACCGGAAACGGUAGCUAAUACCGCAUACGCCCUAUGGGGGAAAGGCUUCGGCCGCUAUUGGAUGAGCCCGCGUCAGAUUAGCUAGUUGGUAGGGUAAAGGCCUACCAAGGCAACGAUCUGUAGCUGGUCUGAGAGGACGAACAGCCACACUGGGACUGAGACACGGCCCAGACUCCUACGGGAGGCAGCAGUGGGGAAUAUUGGACAAUGGGCGAAAGCCUGAUCCAGCAAUGCCGCGUGUGUGAAGAAGGCCUGCGGGUUGUAAAGCACUUUCUGUUGGGAAGAUGAUGACGAUACCAACAGAAGAAGCACCGGCUAAAUCCGUGCCAGCAGCCGCGGUAAUACGGAUGGUGCGAGCGUUAAUCGGAAUUACUGGGCGUAAAGCGCGCGUAGGCGGCUAAGUCAGUCAGAAGUGAAAGCCCCGGGCUCAACCUGGGAAUUGCUUUUGAUACUGCUUAGCUAGAGUUUGGUAGAGGAUAGUGGAAUUCCAGGUGUAGCGGUGAAAUGCGUAGAUAUCUGGAGGAACAUCAGUGGCGAAGGCGACUGUCUGGACCAAAACUGACGCUGAGGUGCGAAAGCGUGGGUAGCAAACAGGAUUAGAUACCCUGGUAG